GACGAACGCUGGCGGCGUGCCUAAUACAUGCAAGUCGAACGCAGUGGGGACGGGUGAGUAACACGUGGUUAACCUCCCAUCAGAGGGGAUAACACUUGGAAACAGGUGCUAAACCGAUAUUCAUGGCUGGACCCGCGGUGCAGUAGCUAGUUGGUGAGGUAACGGCUCACCAAGGCCACGAUGCAUAGCCGACCUGAGAGGGUGAGCGGCCACACUGGAACUGAGACACGGUCCAGACUCCUACGGGAGGCAGCAGUAGGGAAUCUUCCGCAAUGGGCGAAAGCCUGACCGAGCAACGCCGCGUGAGUGAAGAAGGUUUUCGGAUCGUAAAACUCUGUUGUUAGAGAAGCGGUAUCUAACCAGAAAGCCACGGCUAACUACGUGCCAGCAGCCGCGGUAAUUC
rnacentral:rRNA from 1 species